ensembl:lncRNA
GCUCUAUGCAUGCUGCUUUGGGAAGCUUAAUGUACAAGGGACAGUAGAGAAAGCACUGCCCUGAGCCAGGACAGGGAAAAAGGCAUCUUCUUGCUACCUGCGUGUCUGUAGCAGAAUUCAGAGAAGCCCCAAAUAUCUGUGCUUCAAUUAACAGAGGCUUUUCAGCGCUGCGAGGAGGAGAAGCCCUGCCCAUUGAAGAACAGGAUCAUUUCUGAGACACAACAUAUCUGAUUUGCUUGCCAAGCCUUCUGCAAUAUCUUGGCUUAAGGGUUUGAUCUCACAGCCCUGUCAGGAAUGAAGGAACUAAAAGUAUUUUCCAGCAAGACCACUUCUGGUGCAUCAGUUCCAAGUUCUUCUGGCAGGAAAGAUCUUCCUGUGGUCACACAGCAUCUGACAUCUUCCCCAUCAUGUGCCCCAUGUUACAAAGCCCACUGCAUUGAAGAUGAAACCACAGGGAUUAGUCCUGAUUGUACAAUGCCAUGUGAACACGAAGGAUGUUUAUAGUUUAAAAAAUAUUUCCUCUUUCUCCCGGGCUACAUUUUUCAGACCAAUCCUGACCUGUUUUGUAAAAGAAGAUAUAUUCAGUAAGACCACAGACCAUCCACAGAGCUUUUUGGUCUCCAACAAUCUCCAGUUAAUGACUGUCUGUUGGGAAAAAGCAUAAAAAGGAAAAUGUACACUGAUGUUCCCACAUUUUAGCUUUCCAGCUUCCUACAAUCUGUGGCUAUGCAGUUUCCUGACCUGGGGGUUAUUUCUUUGUCUAUCACUCUGUGGUGGAUUUUCCUUCCAUGUUUUUAUCUAAUUGCUUUUUGAACCCGUGAAAACUUAUGACACUCACAACAUCCCAUGGCAAUGAGUUUCAUAGUUUAAUUACGUGCUUCAUGAAAAAGUGUUUUCCUUUAAUCAUUUUGAACCCACCUUCAUUUGAUACCUCCAAGAUUUUGUAUUACAAGAAAUUGCUCUUUCUUCACUCUUUCCAUGUUUGUCAUGAUUUCAUUGGCAUCUGUCACAUCCUUGAAAAAUUACUUUCCUUGCUGAAGAGACUCAUUUUAG